AUUGAACGCUGGCGGCAGGCCUAACACAUGCAAGUCGAACGAGUGGCGGACGGGUGAGUAAUGUCUGGGAAACUGCCUGAUGGAGGGGGAUAACUACUGGAAACGGUAGCUUAUCCCGCAUUCCCUCAUUUGUCCCCAUAUGGGUUUAGAUUGUUGGGGGGGUAACGGCUCACCAGGGCGACGAUCCCUAGCUGGUCUGAGAGGAUGACCAGCACCACUGGAACUGAGACACGGCCCAGCCUCCUACGGGAGGCAGCAGUGUGGAAUAUUGCACAAUGGGCGCAAGCCUGAUGCAGCCAUGCCGCGUGUAUGAAGAAGGCCUUCGGGUUGUAAAGUACUUUCAGCGGGGAGGCGUUACCCGCAGAAGAAGCAACGGCUAACUCCGUGCCAGCAGCCGCGGUAAUAC
rnacentral:rRNA from 1 species